UGCAGUCGACGAUGAAGCUGGGGCUUGCUCUGGUGGAUUAGUGGCGAACGGGUGAGUAACACGUGAGCAACCUGCCCUGGACUCUGGGAUAAGCGCUGGAAACGGCGUCUAAUACUGGAUACGAGACGUGGCCGCAUGGUCAACGUUUGGAAAGAUUUUUCGGUCUGGGAUGGGCUCGCGGCCUAUCAGCUUGUUGGUGAGGUAAUGGCUCACCAAGGCGUCGACGGGUAGCCGGCCUGAGAGGGUGACCGGCCACACUGGGACUGAGACACGGCCCAGACUCCUACGGGAGGCAGCAGUGGGGAAUAUUGCACAAUGGGCGGAAGCCUGAUGCAGCAACGCCGCGUGAGGGAUGACGGCCUUCGGGUUGUAAACCUCUUUUAGCAGGGAAGAAGCGUGAGUGACGGUACCUGCAGAAAAAGCGCCGGCUAACUACGUGCCAGCAGCCGCGGUAAUACGUAGGGCGCAAGCGUUAUCCGGAAUUAUUGGGCGUAAAGAGCUCGUAGGCGGUUUGUCGCGUCUGCUGUGAAAUCCCGAGGCUCAACCUCGGGCCUGCAGUGGGUACGGGCAGACUAGAGUGCGGUAGGGGAGAUUGGAAUUCCUGGUGUAGCGGUGGAAUGCGCAGAUAUCAGGAGGAACACCGAUGGCGAAGGCAGAUCUCUGGGCCGUAACUGACGCUGAGGAGCGAAAGGGUGGGGAGCAAACAGGCUUAGAUA
rnacentral:rRNA from 1 species